GGCUUAGAAGCAGCCAUCAUUUAAAGAAAGCGUAAUAGCUCACUGGUCGAGUCGGCCUGCGCGGAAGAUGUAACGGGGCUAAACCAUGCACCGAAGCUGCGGCAGCGACACUCAGGUGUUGUUGGGUAGGGGAGCGUUCUGUAAGCCUGUGAAGGUGUGUCGUGAGGCAUGCUGGAGGUAUCAGAAGUGCGAAUGCUGACAUAAGUAACGAUAAAGCGGGUGAAAAGCCCGCUCGCCGGAAGACCAAGGGUUCCUGUCCAACGUUAAUCGGGGCAGGGUGAGUCGACCCCUAAGGCGAGGCCGAAAGGCGUAGUCGAUGGGAAACGGGUUAAUAUUCCCGUACUUGGUGUUACUGCGAAGGGGGGACGGAGAAGGCUAUGUUGGCCGGGCGACGGUUGUCCCGGUUUAAGCGUGUAGGUGUGUGUUCCAGGUAAAUCCGGUUCACUUUAACACUGAGGCGUGAUGACGAGGCACUACGGUGCUGAAGCAACAAAUGCCCUGCUUCCAGGAAAAGCCUCUAAGCAUCAGGUAACAUCAAAUCGUACCCCAAACCGACACAGGUGGUCAGGUAGAGAAUACCAAGGCGCUUGAGAGAACUCGGGUGAAGGAACUAGGCAAAAUGGUGCCGUAACUUCGGGAGAAGGCACGCUGACACGUAGGUGAAGUGAUUUACUCAUGGAGCUGAAGUCAGUCGAAGAUACCAGCUGGCUGCAACUGUUUAUUAAAAACACAGCACUGUGCAAACACGAAAGUGGACGUAUACGGUGUGACGCCUGCCCGGUGCCGGAAGGUUAAUUGAUGGGGUCAGCGCAAGCGAAGCUCCUGAUCGAAGCCCCGGUAAACGGCGGCCGUAACUAUAACGGUCCUAAGGUAGCGAAAUUCCUUGUCGGGUAAGUUCCGACCUGCACGAAUGGCGUAAUGAUGGCCAGGCUGUCUCCACCCGAGACUCAGUGAAAUUGAACUCGCUGUGAAGAUGCAGUGUACCCGCGGCAAGACGGAAAGACCCCGUGAACCUUUACUAUAGCUUGACACUGAACAUUGAGCCUUGAUGUGUAG
rnacentral:rRNA from 1 species